rnacentral:rRNA from 1 species
UCCCUCUUUUUCCCUCUUUUUUCUUCCUUCCUUUUCUUCCCUUUCUCUUCUUCUUCCUUCUAAGUCAGACGUGAAAUCCCCCGGCUUAACCUGGGAACUGCGUCUGAUACUGGGAGGCUUGAGUAUGGGAGAGGGAUGUAGAAUUCCAGGUGUAGCGGUGAAAUGCGUAGAUAUCUGGAGGAAUACCGGUGGCGAAGGCGGCAUCCUGGACCAUUACUGACGCUGAGGCGCGAAAGCUAGGGGAGCAAACGGGAUUAGAUACCCCGGUAGUCCUAGCCCUAAACGAUGAAUACUUGGUGUGGCGGGUAUCGAUCCCUGCCGUGCCGAAGCUAACGCAUUAAGUAUUCCGCCUGGGGAGUACGGUCGCAAGGCUGAA